AGCUUUCAAUUAACGUGCCUUUCGGGUCCAAAAAUAGAGAAAAUUUUCGCUUCAAUUAUUAGCUUAUUUAGUUAAAAUAAUGAUAAAAAUAACAUUAAAUUCGAUCAGGUUUACAUAAUCUAAUUACUAACACAGUAACCCCGAUCAGAUACAUACACUAAUUUUAUUAAUUUUUUGUCAGCUUUAACCUCACUGUCAUUUUUUAAUAGCCUACAAGAGUCGAUUGACGAGACUUCCAAUUUGCCAUCAUCUCCCUUGGAUGGGUUCAAGAAAUGCAGCAGGCUGCGAAACAAUAAGAUUUAUUCGACCCGCGAAGAUAUCUAACUAACUGAAAUUAAAUAAAUGAUGAUGAUAAGAAAUUUGAAAUCAACAAUUCUCGGCACAUCUAUUCUGCAACUUGGCGGUACUUCAAAAUAAUCUUGCGAUAAAAAUUUCAUAAAAAUCUCAGAAAGAGGACAGAACAACCAAAGAAUCAGCGAAAGGGAUCAGGGCAGGGCAGGGCACGCUCAAGCCACAAAUUAGAGGGAUUUUAAAUAUCAAAACCAGAUCAGAAUAAUAAGAAGUAAAAUGAAACUAUGAAGGGCUCAGAUUUUGGAUGAGUGAAGGGCAGACGAGCAGAUGAAAUGCAGAAAGUCAAGAAAUGAAUAAACCAAUAUUAAUAAUCUUGGACCCACAGCUGUAAUUUGGAUUAAGCAUCCAUCUACCUAUGUGGAUAACAUUUUUGCUAAUUUUUCAGCCAUGCAGGCUGCAGCAGGAUCAUGUUCUUCUUCCUGUUUUAUUUGAUUUAAUGCACUGAUGCCUACAUCUACCAUACCAAUAAACUCGAGAUACUUACAAAUACCUUCUUGUGGUGAUGUGGUCCAAACUUCAAAAUUACCUGCAGCAACAGAAAAUAAAUGUAAGAGAGACCAGUGAGCUAUCAGAUUAUAUCUAACCUAGGAGAUGUUAUGCUUGGACCACGAACUGGAUGCAUUAGAAGUACAGAAAGUAACUGGGUUAAUCAUCCACUCAGUCGAAACUUUUAGAUAAGGCUGUUGAUUUACACCCUGCAAAAGUGCAUUUCAU
rnacentral:lncRNA from 1 species